GAUCAAGCGCGAGAAGGGCGUUUGGUGAAUGCCUUGGCAGUAAGAGGCGAUGAAAGACGUGAUACUCUGCGAUAAGUCAUGGGGAGCUGAGAAUAAGCUUUGAUCCAUGAAUUUCUGAAUGGGGCAACCCACCUGAAAGUUUGUUAUUGUUACUUCGGUAAUCAAUAAUGGGCUUAACCAGGUACUUUUAGACUGAAUACAUAGGUUUAAAAGAGCAAACCCGGGGAACUGAAACAUCUAAGUACCCGGAGGAAAGGAAAUCAAUUGAUACUCCCCUAGUAGCGGCGAGCGAACGGGGACCAGCCGAGCCUUGAGUGCGAGAAGAACAUGUUGGGAAGCAUGGCCAUAGCGGGUGAUAGCCCCGUAUUCGAAGCAUGAUAGGACGUAUUAAGUAGGGCGGAACACGUGAAAUUCUGUCUGAAGAUCGGAGGACCACCUUCGAAGGCUAAGUACUCCUUACUGACCGAUAGUGAACCAGUACCGUGAGGGAAAGGUGAAAAGCACCCCGACGAGGGGAGUGAAACAGUACCUGAAACCGAACGCCUACAAUCAGUUGGAGGGCCCUUGCGGCCUGACAGCGUACCUUUUGUAUAAUGGGUCAUCGACUUGGUCUCACGAGCAAGCUUAAACCGUUAGGUGUAGGCGCAGCGAAAGCGAGUCUUAAUAGGGCGCAUGAGUUCGUGGGAUCAGACCCGAAACCGAGUGAUCUAGGCAUGGCCAGGUUGAAGGUGCAGUAACAUGCACUGGAGGACCGAACCCACAUCUGUUGAAAAAGAUCGGGAUGAGCUGUGCCUAGGGGUGAAAGGCCAAUCAAACUCGGAGAUAGCUGGUUCUCUGCGAAAUCUAUUUAGGUAGAGCGUCAUCCGAAUACCCCGGGGGGUAGAGCACUGGAUGGGUAAUGGGGCCCCACAGGCUUACUGAUCCUAACCAAACUCCGAAUACCCGGGAGUACUAGAUGGCAGACACACUGCGGAUGCUAACGUCCGUAGUGGAGAGGGAAACAACCCUGACCUCCAGCUAAGGCCCCUAAUUCAUGGCUAAGUGGGAAAGCAGGUGGGAUGUCCAAAACAACCAGGAAGUUGGCUUAGAAGCAGCCAUCUUUUAAAGAUAGCGUAACAGCUCACUGGUCUAAUUAAGACGUCCUGCGGCGAAGAUGUAACGGGGCUCAAGCCAUGAGCCGAAGCUGAGGAUGCACAUAGUGCAUGGUAGCAGAGCGUAGUGUGACAUAGUUCCAUGUCUCCUUACCUACUUCGGUAGGAUUGGAGACACGGAGCUUUCGAUGAAGCCGGGGCGUGAGCCAUCCGGUGGAGAGAUCACUAGCGAGAAUGAUGACAUGAGUAGCGACAAAGAGUGGGAGAGACACUCUCGCCGCAAGUCCAAGGGUUAAUGCUUAAAGCUAAUCUGAGCAGGGGAAGCCGACCCAUAAGGCGAGGCCGAAAGGAGUAGUCGAUGGGAACCAGGUCAAUAUUCCUGGGCCAUGAGGUGGCGACGGAUCUCGAAGGUAGUUCAUCCUUAUUGGUUUGAAUGGGCUGCUGAGAGGUCCCUGGAAAUAGCCCCUCUAUAAGAUCGUACCCUAAACCGACACAGGUGGACUGGUAGAGAAUACCAAGGCGCUUGAGAGAACGAUGUUGAAGGAACUCGGCAAAAUACCUCCGUAAGUUCGCGAGAAGGAGGCCCGGUUUCUACGCAAGUGGAAGCUGGGGGCACAAACCAGGGGGUGGCGACUGUUUAUUAAAAACACAGGGCUCUGCGAAGUCGCAAGACGACGUAUAGGGUCUGACGCCUGCCCGGUGCCUGAAGGUUAAAAGGAGGGGUGAGAGCUCUGAAUUGAAGCCCAGGUAAACGGCGGCCGUAACUAUAACGGUCCUAAGGUAGCGAAAUUCCUUGUCGGGUAAGUUCCGACCUGCA
rfam:Phaeobacter sp. CECT 5382 genome assembly, contig: 0002